UAAACUCGAGAAAUAUAUUACUACUAGCUUAAAGAUCAAUAUUAUUGUAUUUGUGUAUAAAUAUUUAACUACUCUUACGGUUUCUAGAGUUUUAUAUUUUGUUUCCUCCCCGUGGGACAUACAAUAAACUUGGAGCAUCCGCAUUAAAGGUUUAUGGGGGAAGUUCACACAGAAAUCAAGAAAAAAUAAAAAUAAAAUAACUCAAUCACAUGAACCUCUCUCUCCUAAAGCUCUCUCGGCUGAACCUCUCUCUCAUAAAGUUCAACACUGUAGCACGGGCCACACGUGUCGUGGCGACCCGCGAUUGG
rnacentral:lncRNA from 1 species